rnacentral:rRNA from 1 species
GGCCAUGUUGGUUAACAGAUCCUCAUCUGCUGGACGUCUGGCGAUGAUCUUUAUCGGUUGUCGUCAGUUGCCAGCACGUUUACUUUGAGAAAAUUAGAGUGCUAAAAGCAGGCUCACGCCUAUAUAUAUUGCAUGGAAUAAUGAAAUAAGAUCUCGAUUUUAUUUCGUUGGUUUUAGAAAUUGAGAUAAUGAUUAAUAGGAUCAGAGGGGGGCGUACGUACUGUGGUGUGAGAGGUGAAAUUCUUGGAUCGCCACAGGACGAACAGCAGCGAAGGCGUUCGCCAAGAAUGUUUUCAUUAAUCAAGAACGAAAGUUUGAGGUUCGAAGACGAUUAGAUACCGUCCUAGUUCAAACCAUAAACGUUGCCAACUGUCUUUUAGAUGCGGUUAUUUAUAUGACUCAUCUGGCGGAUCUCGAGAAAUCUAAGUUUUUAGGUUCCGGGGGAAGUAUGGUUGCAAAGCUGAAACUUAAAAGAAUUGGCGGAAGGACACACAAGAAGUGGAGCCUGUGGCCUAAUUUGACUCAACACGGGAAACCUUACUCGGCCAGGACACUUUUAGGAUUGACAGAUUGAGAGCUCUUUCUUGAUUAGGUGGGUGGUGGUGCAUGGUCGUUCGUAGUUCGUGGAGCGAUUUGUCUGAUUAAUUUCGAUAACGAACGAGACUCCGGCUUACUAAAUAGUCUAAAGUUCGAAGGGACUUUUCAAGACUUCUUAGCAGGAUAAGUGG